UUGGAGGGCAAGUCUGGUGCCAGCAGCCGCGGUAAUUCCAGCUCCAAUAGCGUAUAUUAAAGUUGUUGCAGUUAAAAUGCUCGUAGUUGAAUUUCGGGGUUAGUAGGUUGGUCAUGCCUCUGGUAUGUACUGGUCUCACUGAUUCCUCCUUCCUGAUGAACCUUAAUGCCAUUUAUUUGGUGUUUUGGGGAAUUUGGACUGUUACUUUGAAAAAAUUAGAGUGUUUAAAGCAAGCUAACGCUUGAAUACAUUAGCAUGGAAUAAUGAAAUAGGACGUUCGAUCCUAUUUUGUUGGUUUCUAGGAUUGACGUAAUGAUUAAUAGGGAUAGUUGGGGGCAUUAGUAUUCAAUUGUCAGAGGUGAAAUUCUUGGAUUUAUUGAAGACUAACUACUGCGAAAGCAUUUGCCAAGGAUGUUUUCAUUAAUCAAGAACGAAAGUUAGGGGAUCGAAGACGAUCAGAUACCGUCGUAGUCUUAACCAUAAACUAUGCCGACUAGGGAUCGGAUGAUGUUAAUUUUUUAAUGACUCAUUCGGCGCCUUACGGGAAAC
rnacentral:rRNA from 1 species